AUACGGAGGGUGCGAGCGUUGUUCGGAAUUAUUGGGCGUAAAGAGCAUGUAGGCGGUCUGUUAAGUCUGGUGUGAAAGCCCGGGGCUCAACCCCGGAAGUGCAUUGGAUACUGGCAGACUUGAGUAUGGGAGAGGAAAGCGGAAUUCCGAGUGUAGGAGUGAAAUCCGUAGAUAUUCGGAGGAACACCAGUGGCGAAGGCGGCUUUCUGGACCAAUACUGACGCUGAGAUGCGAAAGCGUAGGGAGCAAACAGGAUUAGAAACCCCUGUAGUCC
rnacentral:rRNA from 1 species